rnacentral:rRNA from 1 species
CAGUAGCCACGGUAAUACGGAGGGCGCGAGCGUUACCCGGAUUUACUGGGCGUAAAGGGCGUGUAGGCGGCCUGGGGCGUCCCAUGUGAAAGGCCACGGCUCAACCGUGGAGGAGCGUGGGAUACGCUCAGGCUAGAGGGUGGGAGAGGGUGGUGGAAUUCCCGGAGUAGCGGUGAAAUGCGCAGAUACCGGGAGGAACGCCGAUGGCGAAGGCAGCCACCUGGUCCACUUCUGACGCUGAGGCGCGAAAGCGUGGGGAGCAAACCGGAUUAGAUACCCCCGUAGUCCCUGUCUCUUAUAC